rnacentral:rRNA from 1 species
UGGGGGAUAUUGCACAAUGGGCGCAAGCCUGAUGCAGCGACGCCGCGUGGAGGAAGAAGGUUUUCGGAUUGUAAACUCCUGUCUUCAGGGACGAUAAUGACGGUACCUGAGGAGGAAGCCACGGCUAACUACGUGCCAGCAGCCGCGGUAAUACGUAGGUGGCAAGCGUUGUCCGGAAUUACUGGGUGUAAAGGGAGCGUAGGCGGGAUUGCAAGUUAAAUGUGAAAUCUAUCGGCUCAACCGGUAGCUGCGUUUAAAACUGUAGUUCUUGAGUGAAGUAGAGGCAGGCGGAAUUCCUAGUGUAGCGGUGAAAUGCGUAGAUAUUAGGAGGAACACCAGUGGCGAAGGCGGCCUGCUGGGCUUUUACUGACGCUGAGGCUCGAAAGUGUGGGUAGCAAACAGG